GUUAACCGCCAUCGACUUUUGACGUUAUUCUGCUUGAUUAUUUUUUUAAUUUGUGAUUUUUUGUGUGUUUUUAAUCCAAAAUUAGCAAUGGACGUCUGCAAAACACCUCCCCGUGCAAUCCCGAAGCAUCUAAGACCCAAAGUUGGGUCAUUUACGACACCUUUGAAGAUUCCGGCGACGCCCCAACUCAAAAAACUCGGCUACGGAACGGGCGUUGAAGUCUUGCGAGUCGAAAGAUCCAAAAUGGGCGCCGUACGAAGUCCCUGGGCGAUCAAACGUUUGAAUAAAAAGUGCGAUAAGACGUAUGCGAAGCUCUAUAACAAGCGAUUAAUUGAUGAAGCAAGCAUUUUAAGGAAAUUAGAGCAUCCAAAUAUCGUCGGAUUUCGUAAUAUCUUGAACGACAAGUGCGGAAACACAAUUCUCGCGAUGGAAGACGGCCACAAAUCGCUGGGAGACUUGCUCGAAACACGAUUUGAGGGAGAUUUAGGUCCCUUGGAAGCGGAAAAAAUUACUCGAGUUUGCGUUGAUGUCGCCCAUGCAUUGCAUUAUUUGCAUUUUACCGUCUCUUACAUGCAUGGCGACCUGAAAUCCUAUAACGUCUUGGUGAAAGGUGACUUUGAUGUCUGUAAACUUUGUGAUUUUGGCGUAAGUCAACCGCUCGACAAGGAUGGCUUCAUCGAUAUUAAAAAUUAUCCCGAUGCACGUUACGUCGGAACAGAUCUCUGGUCAGCGCCCGAAGUUUUUUCCGAAGACAUGGAAAUAGUCGGCACAAAAUCCGAAAUGUUCUCUUACGGGUUGGUAAUUUACGAGAUGUUGGCAUUGACGGCGCCUCAUAUUGGUGGAUUGAUGGAUGAACCGGAGCCAGUUGACGAUUCAGUUAUUUCGGUGAAAGACAGCGACGAUGAGGGUGAAAGCGAGUUGGAAAAAAGUAUCACGCCACUUUUGGGUACAAGACCUCCGCUUCCGGAUUAUCUCUUUGGACCGGAAUACAAUAAUAUCCUCGGAUUAUUCUUUAUUUGCACGAAUCAAGAGCCAGAUGAACGUCCUUCAGCGAAAGAAUGCAUUAUUUAUUUUGACAGUUGUAAAUCCGAGUGAAAUCAAAAAAAAAAAAUGACGAAUGACUUUGAGAGUGAAGUUAAAUUUUAAUAUUUUUUUAUGAACAAAAUAUUAAAGGACUUAACACUAACUUACUUGACUUAAAAUCCUUAAGUUCAUGAAAAAAAAACUUACAUGUUUGACCAGUUUAAAAAUAAAAAUGACGUAGUUUAAGUAAAAAGCAACAAAAUUGAACAUUAUUGAUAAUUUUUAUUCAACCCUUUAUAUAUUUUAAAGAUACACUUUUUUUUUGUUUCCUAUCACUAUCUACUUAAUCUUAAGAUCCAAAUUAGUAUUUACAAAAAAAGAUACUUUUUGCCGGCCGUUUUCAAUUAUUUUUAUAAAAAAUACGCAAUAAACUGAUGUUUGUUUUCUGCUGUCAUCUGUAGAAUUUUAUUAUUUCAUAAAUUAUUUGAUAAGCUUUUAUCAAAUACAAGUCAAUUCAUAACAAGGUACACGUA